rnacentral:rRNA from 1 species
AGUGAACGCUGGCGGUAGGCCUAACACAUGCAAGUCGAACGGCAGCACAGUAAGAGCUUGCUCUUACGGGUGGCGAGUGGCGGACGGGUGAGGAAUACAUCGGAAUCUACUUUUUCGUGGGGGAUAACGUAGGGAAACUUACGCUAAUACCGCAUACGACCUACGGGUGAAAGCAGGGGAUCUUCGGACCUUGCGCGAUUGAAUGAGCCGAUGUCGGAUUAGCUAGUUGGCGGGGUAAAGGCCCACCAAGGCGACGAUCCGUAGCUGGUCUGAGAGGAUGAGCAGCCACACUGGAACUGAGACACGGUCCAGACUGCUACGGGAGGCAGCAGUGGGGAAUAUUGGACAAUGGGCGCAAGCCUGAUCCAGCCAUACCGCGUGGGUGCAGAAGGCCUUCGGGUUGUAAAGCCAUUUUGUUGGGAAAGAAAAGCAGCAGGUUAAUACCCCGCUGUUCUGACGGUACCCAAAGAAUAAGCACCGGCUAACUUCGUG